GAACUCUGGUUUCUCUUUAGAUUCUAUAAAUCUCUUGCUUUUUACUAAAGAUUUCCAUGGGGAGGAACAAUUUAUUUAUAAUAGAUUUCUAGUACUUAAAGAGGUCUCCAGGA
rfam:Manacus vitellinus contig43686, whole genome shotgun sequence.